AGUGAACGCUGGCGGUAGGCCUAACACAUGCAAGUCGAACGGCAGCACAGUAAGAGCUUGCUCUUACGGGUGGCGAGUGGCGGACGGGUGAGGAAUACAUCGGAAUCUACUUUUUCGUGGGGGAUAACGUAGGGAAACUUACGCUAAUACCGCAUACGACCUACGGGUGAAAGCAGGGGAUCUUCGGACCUUGCGCGAUUGAAUGAGCCGAUGUCGGAUUAGCUAGUUGGCGGGGUAAAGGCCCACCAAGGCGACGAUCCGUAGCUGGUCUGAGAGGAUGAUCAGCCACACUGGAGCUGAGACACGGUCCAGACUCCUACGGGAGGCAGCAGUGGGGAAUAUUGGACAAUGGGCGCAAGCCUGAUCCAGCCAUACCGCGUGGGUGAAGAAGGCCUUCGGGUUGUAAAGCCCUUUUGUUGGGAAAGAAAAGCAGCAGGUUAAUACCCCGCUGUUCCGACGGUACCCAAAGAAUAAGCACCGGCUAACUUCGUG
rnacentral:rRNA from 1 species